rnacentral:other from 1 species
GUCUCACUGCGGCGUUGGUGACUACCAAUAAUGUUUUAUGAUCUAUGCUUCGUCUUAAAGGGAAUCGAGUGCUGUGGUGGCAGUAGACCAAGCUUGUACUUGGAAACUUUAAGCCAUAUGCCAUGAAUCCCACCUGGUUUUUCCAGGUCAAAAGCUGAGGUAAGACGGCGUUGCGGUGAGUCU